rnacentral:rRNA from 1 species
UACGUAGGUGGCAAGCGUUGUCCGGAUUUAUUGGGUUUAAAGGGUGCGUAGGCGGCUUUGUAAGUCAGUGGUGAAAUAUGGCAGCUUAACUGUCAAGGUGCCAUUGAUACUGCGGAGCUUGAGUACAGAUGAGGUAGGCGGAAUUGGCGGUGUAGCGGUGAAAUGCUUAGAUAUCGGCAAGAACACCUAUAGCGAAGGCAGCUUACUAGGCUGUAACUGACGCUGAGGCACGAAAGUGUGGGGAUCAAACAGG